CCUACGGGGGGCAGCAGUGGGGAAUAUUGGACAAUGGGGGGAACCCUGAUCCAGCGACGCCGCGUGAGUGAAGAAGUAUUUCGGUAUGUAAAGCUCUAUCAGCAGGGAAGAAAGAAAUGACGGUACCUGACUAAGAAGCCCAGGCUAACUACGUGCCAGCAGCCGCGGUAAUACGUAGGGGGCAAGCGUUAACCGGAUUUACUGGGUGUAAAGGGGGCGUAGACGGCGAUGCAAGUCUGAAGUGAAAGGCGGGGGCCCAACCUCCGGACUGCUUUGGAAACGGGAUGGCUGGAGUGCAGGAGAGGUAAGUGGAAUUCCUAGUGUAGCGGUGAAAUGCGUAGAUAUUAGGAGGAACACCAGUGGCGAAGGCGGCUUACUGGACUGUAACUGACGUUGAGGCUCGAAAGCGUGGGGAGCAAACAGGAUUAGAUACCCUUGUAGUC
rnacentral:rRNA from 1 species